AGUGAACGCUGGCGGUAGGCCUAACACAUGCAAGUCGAACGGCAGCACAGUAAGAGCUUGCUCUUACGGGUGGCGAGUGGCGGACGGGUGAGGAAUACAUCGGAAUCUACUUUUUCGUGGGGGAUAACGUAGGGAAACUUACGCUAAUACCGCAUACGACCUACGGGUGAAAGCAGGGGAUCUUCGGCCCUUGCGCGAUUGAAUGAGCCGAUGUCGGAUUAGCUAGUUGGCGGGGUAAAGGCCCACCAAGGCGACGAUCCGUAGCUGGUCUGAGAGGAUGAUCGGCCACACUGGAACUGAGACACGGUCCAGACUCCUACGGGAGGCAGCAGUGGGGAAUAUUGGACAAUGGGCGCAAGCCUGAUCCAGCCAGACCGCGUGGGUGAAGAAGGCCUUCGGGUUGUAAAGCCCUUUUGUUGGGAAAGAAAAGCAGCAGGUUAAUACCCCGCUGUUCUGACGGUACCCAAAGAAUAAGCACCGGCUAACUUCGUG
rnacentral:rRNA from 1 species